UUUAUGGAGAGUUUGAUCCUGGCUCAGGAUGAACGCUGGCGGCGUGCCUAAUACAUGCAAGUCGAGCGAACGGACGAGAAGCUUGCUUCUCUGAUGUUAGCGGCGGACGGGUGAGUAACACGUGGAUAACCUACCUAUAAGACUGGGAUAACUUCGGGAAACCGGAGCUAAUACCGGAUAAUAUUUUGAACCGCAUGGUUCAAAAGUGAAAGACGGUCUUGCUGUCACUUAUAGAUGGAUCCGCGCUGCAUUAGCUAGUUGGUAAGGUAACGGCUUACCAAGGCAACGAUGCAUAGCCGACCUGAGAGGGUGAUCGGCCACACUGGAACUGAGACACGGUCCAGACUCCUACGGGAGGCAGCAGUAGGGAAUCUUCCGCAAUGGGCGAAAGCCUGACGGAGCAACGCCGCGUGAGUGAUGAAGGUCUUCGGAUCGUAAAACUCUGUUAUUAGGGAAGAACAUAUGUGUAAGUAACUGUGCACAUCUUGACGAUACCUAAUCAGAAAGCCACGGCUAACUACGUGCCAGCAGCCGCGGUAAUACGUAGGUGGCAAGCGUUAUCCGGAAUUAUUGGGCGUAAAGCGCGCGUAGGCGGUUUUUUAAGUCUGAUGUGAAAGCCCACGGCUCAACCGUGGAGGGUCAUUGGAAACUGGAAAACUUGAGUGCAGAAGAGGAAAGUGGAAUUCCAUGUGUAGCGGUGAAAUGCGCAGAGAUAUGGAGGAACACCAGUGGCGAAGGCGACUUUCUGGUCUGUAACUGACGCUGAUGUGCGAAAGCGUGGGGAUCAAACAGGAUUAGAUACCCUGGUAGUCCACGCCGUAAACGAUGAGUGCUAAGUGUUAGGGGGUUUCCGCCCCUUAGUGCUGCAGCUAACGCAUUAAGCACUCCGCCUGGGGAGUACGACCGCAAGGUUGAAACUCAAAGGAAUUGACGGGGACCCGCACAAGCGGUGGAGCAUGUGGUUUAAUUCGAAGCAACGCGAAGAACCUUACCAAAUCUUGACAUCCUUUGACAACUCUAGAGAUAGAGCCUUCCUCUUCGGGGGACAAAGUGACAGGUGGUGCAUGGUUGUCGUCAGCUCGUGUCGUGAGAUGUUGGGUUAAGUCCCGCAACGAGCGCAACCCUUAAGCUUAGUUGCCAUCAUUAAGUUGGGCACUCUAAGUUGACUGCCGGUGACAAACCGGAGGAAGGUGGGGAUGACGUCAAAUCAUCAUGCCCCUUAUGAUUUGGGCUACACACGUGCUACAAUGGACAAUACAAAGGGCAGCGAAACCGCGAGGUCAAGCAAAUCCCAUAAAGUUGUUCUCAGUUCGGAUUGUAGUCUGCAACUCGACUACAUGAAGCUGGAAUCGCUAGUAAUCGUAGAUCAGCAUGCUACGGUGAAUACGUUCCCGGGUCUUGUACACACCGCCCGUCACACCACGAGAGUUUGUAACACCCGAAGCCGGUGGAGUAACCUUUUAGGAGCUAGCCGUCGAAGGUUGGACAAAUGAUUGGGGUGAAGUCGUAACAAGGUAGCCGUAUCGGAAGGUGCGGCUGGAUCACCUCCUUUCU
rnacentral:rRNA from 1 species